GUAGGUGUAGUUUUAUUUAAAACAUUAGAUUGUGAUUCCAAAAAUAGAGGUUAAACUCCUCUCACCCACC
rnacentral:tRNA from 1 species